rnacentral:rRNA from 1 species
GACGAACGCUGGCGGCGUGCUUAACACAUGCAAGUCGAACGGAAAGGCCUGCUUUCCCUUGUGGAUUGCGGGUACUCGAGUGGCGAACGGGAGAGUAACACGUGAGUGAUCUUCCCCCAACUUUGGUAUAAGCCUGGGAAACUGGGUCUAAUUCCCGAUAGGACUGCAGGGUGGUGCCUGUGGUGGAAAACGAUUUUCUAGUGGUUGGGGAUGAGCUCGCGGCCUAUCAGCUUGUUGGUUGGGUAAUGGCCUACCAAGGCGGCGACGGGUAGCCGGCCUGAGAGGGUGGACGGCACAAUUGGGACUGAGAUACGGCCCAGACUCCUACGGGAGGAAGCAGUGGGGAAUAUUGCACAAUGGGCGGAAGCCUGAUGCAGCGACGCAGCGUGGGGGAUGACGGGCUUCGGGUUGUAAACUCCUUUCGACCGGGAGGAAGCCACCUGGUUGGAAGGGUGGUGACGGUAGUGGUAGAAGAAGCACCGGCUAACUACGUG